AUUUUUGAUGCUGCCUUCACGGGACGACGCGAGUAUCGUAAUAAUGACCACUAAGCCCAGCAAACCACGUCGUUCAAUCUGUUUAUUAUUAUUACGUUGUUUUAUUGCGCUUGUAACUGCUAUUUUAUUUUAAGAAAACAUGUUUUGUUAUACAAUGGCUAAUUCCCUUUUAAUGUUUUAGAUUUGUUAAUAGUAGGCGGGAAGUUUACGACAAGUACGUGAAGGCACCACUGCAGAGGACGUGCUCUGGAGAAACUGAAUGAAAGCUGCUUUAAAGUGUUUCUAUAGAUAGACUCGACGUUAACAAGUGUUUUUACUUCAUUUUAUUGAUUUGUUUGCUUUGAAUCCAUAAAUAUAAAUGUAGAACACGCAUUCAUGCCUGGGCUGGACGCUGUUAGUGUAAAAACAUGCCGUAUGUGCUGCAGUGAUUUUAACUCUGCCGUGUAGUGCAGCUCCAGAGGAUGGUUAACGCUUGGUGUAGGCAGCAGGACGGAGAAUAACACAAGAGCUGCCCCUCCAAGAUCUACAUAAAGGGUCUUUCGGAACCACUCAACUUGAGAAUGUUGCCUGCACACGGCCUCUCCAACAAUUCUGACACAUCCCAACUAAAUUCGGUUUUUGGUCAUUUCAACAAAUGUGAAAGUACAGACUUUGAAAGGGGAGUUUACAUUUGGACUUUUUGUGGACUGGUGGGUUUUAUCUUUGGCUUUCCCGCAGCUCUUACUAUCGUCUUGGAGAUGUUUAAAAUGUGGAAAAGAGGAGCUCCCAUAACACCAAACAACUUUUUCAUACUGAAUCUCUCCAUCAUGGAUGCAUUGUUCCUGUUCUUUAUCCCACUUGAAAUAGUAAAUAGUUAUAUCCUGACGUCUUGGGACUUUGAAAGUGUAUGUAGUGGUUUUUAUGCCUUGAACCAUACUGGGAGACCCUUCCUGAUGGCCUGCAUCUGUUUGGACUGUUAUUUUGCUGUAGUUCAUCCAAUUGCCUACCACAAGAGGAAGAGUCUAACUCCAAGGGUUGUGAUGGCGGGAAUGGUUUGGAUUGUGACGGUCGCCAUUGGGUGCCUUUACACCGUUUCUUUUUACAUAUACUUUUCCAUAUUUUCCUUUGUGCCCUUUUUCAUAUCAAUAAUAAUAAUUGGAAUCUGUGAUUCUUUGAUCCUUUUUAAAUUAUUCCAAUCCCACCACAGGGAAACCAUCCACCCACAGAAGCAAAGGGCCAUUCACAUCCUCAUCAACAGCCUGGUGAUGACAGUCGUCUCUUAUCUUCCUUCAGCUAUUCUGUUUGCACUUGUAAAUUAUGGGAAAGUGUAUGAUAAAUCCUUUCAGUGCACAGUUUUGAUUCUAGGUACCAUCACAUCCACUUUAGUAUCUGCCAUCAUGCCCAUACUUUACCUGAAUAAUAUUGGGAAACUAGACCAUUUCAAGCUUGCAUGCAGGUCAUAGUUUAUUUCUUGACUCUCUCCUCUAAAAGGUUUGUUUUAGUUUUUGUAGAUUUAUACUGUUUAGGACCUUCUGGGACUUUCUCAUGUGUCACUGUCAUGUUUCAAUGUAAUUUAUUUUCUUUUGUUAAUAUCAAUGCAAAUGAUGACUAAAGACAGAUCAUCGUUCAUAAUAAUGGCAGUCACGCAGGUGUGCGAGUGUAGACUAUUAGUAUUAACCUAGUGUGGUACAGAUUAUAUAAUACAUAUAUUACUGGGCCACUAAAUAGUUAAAUAUUUUGCCUAUAUUAUGACAAAAAAUAUAAUCACAGUUAUAACUUUCAUUACCAAAUAGAGCAGAGUCCAGAUUGCAUUGCCUGCAUGGGACCAUUAAAAGUGAAAGAAACUCUAAUAAACUUCUAUGUUUACA